rnacentral:rRNA from 1 species
AGUGAACGCUGGCGGUAUGCCUAACACAUGCAAGUCGAACGGCAGCACAGUAAGAUCGUGCUCUUACGGGUGGCGAGUGGCGGACGGGUGAGGAAUACAUCGGAAUCUACUUUUUCGGGGGGGAUAACGUAGGGAAACUUACUCUAAUACCGCAUACGACCUACGGUUGAAAGCAUUGGAUCUUCUGGCCUUUCGCGAUUGGAUUAGCCGAUGUCGGAUUAGCUAGUUGGCGGGGUAAAGGCCCACCAAGGCGACGAUCCGUAGCUGGUCUGAGAGGAUGAUCAGCCACACUGGAACUGAGACACGGUCCAGACUCCUACGGGAGGCAGCAGUGGGGAAUAUUGGACAAUGGGCGCAAGCCUGAUCCAGCAAGCCCGCGUGGGUGAAGAAGGCCUUCGGGUUGUAAAGCCCUUUUGUUGGGAAAGAAAAGCAGCAGGUUAAUACCACGCUGCUCUGACGGUACCCAAAGAAUAAGCACCGGCUAACUUCGUG